AGAAAGGCGGAGGACUUUUUGGAAAAUAAAAUUACAAAAGCAAAAAAUUUAAAAAAAAAAAAAAUUUCCUUCAGCAACCAAGACAGUCAAACCCAGCGAAGUCCGUUCUGAGCGAAGCCCCCUGCCACCCCCAAAUAGACAGGCUUGGUGUUUCAUUUCUUGAACUCAGGGGAGCUGAUGAGCAUUGCUGAGGUGCUAAGAAGACCCGGGGUUGGGGGUUUGUUGGAAAUCUCUUUUUCAACCUUUCCUGCCAAUGGGCCCUGUGGCCUCUGACCUCCUGGGGAGGGGAGGGGGGGUCUCACACUCACAGCAAAGGAAGAGGCCUAGGGGACAGAGAGGCUGGCUGUUGGCCUUCCCGUGAGGUAACAGAUUUUAAAAUAUCUCCAUGAGGUUUCGUCUUACCCAGCUUGCACUGACUUAAGGAAAAUAAUCUUCCCAGCCCGGCGCAAACCUCAGAACUCUCUAACAGUUGCUCUUGAUCUGACGGAUACGGAGAGAGGAAAAAGCCUUGCAAAGAGACAUUGGGGUGAUGCGUCUCCCCGCCAUCUACACAGCUUCCAUGCACAGCGAAGAGAGAAGAGACCAUCUGGAUGUGGUUUCACAGACGAGAUGAAAGCACUCUGCAGACAGCCCUUGUAAAGCCACAGCCCACCCACCCGACCACAGAUAAGCUGGAUUUUUUAAGUCCAUGUUAAAAGAAUCACAGGGAUCCCAUUCCUUUUUCCUCCUCA